AACGAACGCUGGCGGCAGGCUUAACACCUGCAAGUCGAGCGCCUCGCAAGAGGAGCGGCAGACGGGUGAGUAACGCGUGGGAACGUACCCUUAUCUUCGGAAUAGCUCUGGGAAACUGGAAGUAAUACCGAAUGUGCCCUUAGGGGGAAAGAUUUAUCGGAUAAGGAUCGGCCCGCGUUGGAUUAGCUAGUUGGUGGGGUAAAGGCCUACCAAGGCGACGAUCCAUAGCUGGUCUGAGAGGAUGAUCAGCCACAUUGGGACUGAGACACGGCCCAAACUCCUACGGGAGGCAGCAGUGGGGAAUAUUGGACAAUGGGCGCAAGCCUGAUCCAGCCAUGCCGCGUGAGUGAUGAAGGCCUUAGGGUUGUAAAGCUCUUUCACCGGAGAAGAUAAUGACGGUAUCCGGAGAAGAAGCCCCGGCUAACUUCGUG
rnacentral:rRNA from 1 species